AAAUAGUCUCUAUUUCUAUUUUCUUCUUGCCUGCAAUUCUAUCUUGGUGUCAGAGCCAAAAAUGUCUAGCACUACUUCCUCUCCGACAACCCUAACUGCAAAUCCCCAAAAUAUUAACCCAACUCCAACCUCCAGUCCGAACAUUACCCAAACCAAUUACCCAUCUCUUUCUUAGCCUCUAACUAUCAAACUUGAUGAAACGAAUCUGCUACUCUGGAAAAAUCAGCUUCUGAAUGUGAUCAUAGACAAUGGGUUAGAAGAUUUCAUUGAGGAAGAAACACCUAUACCAACCAAAUUCUUGGAUGAUGCCCAACUGCAGAUCAACCCACUCUUCAUACAAUGGGAACGAACAAAUAGACUUGUCAUGAGCUGGAUCUAUUCUUCCUUAACAAAGUAUGGUAGGAAGAAUCAUAGAAUACAAGACUACUCGGGAAAUAUGGGGAGCUCUAAACAAAGUUUAUCAAUCUCCUUCGAUUGCUACUAUGCUAGGACUGAACUCUCAGCUUCAGAGGAUUAAAAAGGAAGGAUCAAACUUUGAGGAGGGUACUUCUUCAGGGAAUACUUGAAGAUGGACUCUAAAAAGUUUCAUCAUCAGCCAGUACUUCGCCAUCCCUUGUUGUCUCCUCUUCAUCAGCUUCACCUUCAGUUCCUGCUACUCAACUAUCCUUCAAUCGUGCUCAAGCCUUCAUCACUCAGCAUAAUAAUACCGUAUUGUGGCACAAUAGACUAGGACACCCUGCUUCUAAUGUAAUUACUCAAGUUAUGAGGAGCUGUAAUUUGAAAUUUUCUAAAUCUUUUUAUUUUUGUUCCUCUUGUCAAUUGACUAAGAGCCAUAGAUUACCCUUUAUACUUUCAGAAUCUAAAGCAAUGAAACCUAUUUAUUCUAUUCACUAUGAUCUUUGGGGUCCUUCCCCUAUCUUAUUUGUCACUGGUGCUCGUUACUUCCUUCUUUUUAUUGAUGAUUACUCUCGCUAUACUUGGUUUUAUUUGUUAAAAAGCAAAGAUGUAGUUUUCUCCUACUUUCUAAAAUUCAAAAAUCUCAUUGAAAAAAAAAUUAACACAACUAUUAAGGCCUUGCAAACUGAUUGGAGUGGUGAAUUUGGCCGCUUGAGUCUUUUCUUGAAAAUCUUGGUAUUCAUCAUCGCCAUUCUUGUCAUUAUACUCCCCAACAAAAUGGGCGAGUUGAGUGCAAAAAUUGUCAUGUUGUUGAAGUUGGCUUGCCCAUGUUAGCCCAUUCUUCUAUUCCUAUUUCCUAUUGGCCAUAUGCAUUCCAAUAUGUUGUGUACUUAAUCAAUAGAUUACCUAUAGUUGUCUUGAAUAACAAAACUCUCUUUGACUUGCUUUAUGAUAAAUCUCCUUCUUAUUCUUCAUUUCGAGUGUUCGGUUGCUCCUAUUUCCCAUUUUUAAGACCUUUGAAUCAGCAUAAACGUCAAUUUUGCUCCACUGAAUGUGUCAUUCUUAGGUUUAGUCCUCACCAUAAAGGUUAUUUGUGCUUAAAUAGACAAACAGGUCAGAUUUAUGUUUCCUAUCAUGUUGUUUUCAAUGAGUUCUCUUUUCCUUUCACUUGUUCUUCUUCCUAUCCUCCUCCUUCAUCUAUGUUUACUCAUAAUCUCCUCAUUUCUCUUUCAUUUCCUUCCUCAACCACUCCACAUCACAUUUCUAUCUUACAUUCUUCUUCUUCUUCUUCUUCUUCUUAUCCUUCCCUUCAUUGAUCUACAUUCCCAAUGUCUUCUUCUUCUCCUUCUUCUCCUCCCACAUUUCUCUCUCCUCAUUUCUCACAGGACACUCAUCCCACUACUUCAGUAUGUCCAAUUCCAUUUGCUAUACCUACUGACUUACCAGAAUCUGUUCUCCAUUACCCUCCACCUCCCACCAACACUCAUUCCAUGGUGACUAGAUCCAAGGCUGGGAUUUAUAAACCAAAAACUCUUGUGGCAACAUUUGAUUUCCCUGCUAAUAUUGCUCUUUUUUAGCCUACCUCUUUUCACCAAGCAAUCAAAUAUGCUCACUUGUAAAAAGCUAUGACUACAAAAUAUGAGGCUCUUAUUAUAAAUGAUACUUGGACAUUGAUGCCUCUACCACCUGAUCACAAAGUAGUUGGUGGCAAGUGGGUCUUUAAGGUCAAGCUCAAACCGAUGGCUCCCUUGAAAGAUAUAAAGUUCGGUUAGUUGCUAAAGGUUUUCAACAAACACUUGGUUUGGACGAUUUUGAAACCUUUAGCCCAGUUGUUAAGCCCACUACUAUCCGUAUUGUUUUAAGUUUCGCUCUUUCUCUUCAAUGGCCUAUCAAACAGUUGGAUGUCCAUAAUGCAUUCUUAAAUGGUGACCUAUAAUAAACUAUUUUCAUGGAGCAACCCCCUGGUUUUAUCAGUGCUACCAAUCCAGGCUAUGUUUGCAAGUUGAACAAGGGCUUUAUACGACCUUAAGCAAAGUCCUCAUAGGUGGUAUACAAAGCUCAGUACUUAUCUACUGCAGUGUGGUUUCCAAGGCUCCAAAUCUGAUACUUCAGUGUUCUUCUCCAACAAAGGCUCCUCCAUUAUUAUUUUGUUGAUUUAAGUGGAUGAUAUUAUUAUCACAAGUAGUCACUCUGUCUUGGUGAACUCCUUGAUUGACCAACUACAUAAUCAAUUUGCUCUCAAGGGUUUAGGGUAUCUUUCUUAUUUUUUGGGCAUUCAAGUUACUUGUACUCUAUCAACCCUGCAUUUAUGCCAACACAAGUACAUUGUUGAUCUCCUUCAUCGGGCUCAAAUGUUUGACUGUAUGCAUGCUUCUACUCCUAUGAGCACCUCAUCUUCCUUGUCCUUGUAUGAUGGUGAGCCUCUUUCGGAUCCAUCUUUGUAUCGCAGCAUUGUGGAGGCUCUACAGUAUUAUACCAUCACCCGACCUGACAUCAGUUUUUCUAUCAACAAGGUCUGCCAAUUCAUGCAUUCUUCGACCACAACUCAUUGGCAAGUUGUUAAGAGGAUUCUUUGUUAUCUCAAGAGUACAAUUUCUCAUGGCAUUUCUCUUUAACCAUCUACUGAUCUUUUUCUCACUUGUUAUACUGAUGUUAAUUGGGUUGGUUGUCCGGAUGAUCAGAAAAGUACAAGUGGUCAUUGUUGUUUCCUUAGCCCUAAUUUGAUUUCCUGGUCUUGUACUAAAUAAAAAGUUGUUUCUCGUUCAAGUGUUGAGUCUGAAUACAGAGGCCUUGCUAAUGCCGCUUUAGAACUUAUUUGGAUUGAAACAUUUCUCACUGAACUACACAUUCCGUUUUUCACUCCCCCAGUCCUCUUUUGUGACAAUCUCAGUGCCACCCAUCUUGUUGCUCAUCCCAUUUUGCAUGCUCGUACGAAGCACAUUGAAAUCGAUUAUCAUUUCAUUCGUGAUCGUGUGCUCCAUAAAUCCCUAUUGGUCAAAUUUACACCUUCUGAAUAGCAACUUGCAGAUAUCCUGACCAAGCUCCUGCCUGCACCUCGCUUUCAAAGUCUACGAGACAAGCUAACUGUGCUUCACAACCCUCUUUGCUUGCAGAGGGAUGUUAAACAAUGUAAUUAGUUAUGCUCAACUAUAGGAAAUGAUACUUUGUAUCAGGCCCUGCCAUGUGUAUGGUUUGUUUUACCUUUCCUACACUAUAUAAAUUUGUCUCAGGCUCACUUGAUGCUUGGGC